UGGGGAAUCUUGCGCAAUGGGCGAAAGCCUGAUGCAGCAACGCCGCGUGGAGGAAGAAGGCCUUCGGGUUGUAAACUCCUGUCAGGGGGAAAGAAGGCACCUGGGUGAAUAGACAAAGGGCUGACGGUACCCCCAGAGGAAGCCACGGCUAACUACGUGCCAGCAGCCGCGGUAAUACGUAGGUGGCGAGCGUUGUCCGGAAUUAUUGGGCGUCAAGAGCGCGUAGGCGGCUUGCCAGGUCCGACGUGAAACCCCGGGGCUCAACUCCGGACGUGCAUCGGAAACCGGCUUGCUAGAGUCUGGGAGAGGGGAGUGGAAUUCCUGGUGUAGCGGUGAAAUGCGCAGAUAUCAGGAGGAAUACCGGUAGCGAAGGCUGCUCCCUGGAACAGUACUGACGCUGAGGCGCGAAAGCUAGGGGAGCGAACA
rnacentral:rRNA from 1 species